rnacentral:rRNA from 1 species
CGGGGACAACCACUGGAAACGGUGGCUAAUACCGGAUAAGCCUUUGGGUAAAAGAUUUAUUGCCCCAAGAGGAGCUCGCGUCUGAUUAGCUAGUUGGUGAGGUAAGAGCUCACCAAGGCAGCGAUCAGUAGCUAGGUCUGAGAGGACGAUCAGCCACACUGGGACUGAGACACGGCCCAGACUCCUACGGGAGGCAGCAGUGGGGAAUUUUCCGCAAUGGGCGAAAGCCUGACGGAGCAAGACCGCGUAAGGGAGGAAGGCUCUUGGGUUGUAAACCUCUUUUCUCAGGGAAGAAGCUCUGACGGUACCUGAGGAAUCAGCCUCGGCUAAACUCCGUGCCAGCAGCCGCGGUAAUACGGAGGAGGCAAGCGUUAUCCGGAAUUAUUGGGCGUAAAGCGUCCGCAGGUGGCGAUUCAAGUCUGCUGUCAAAGCACGGGGCUUAACUCCGUUAAGGGCGUGGAAACUUGAAUAGCUAGAGUGCCGUAGGGGUAGAGGGAAUACCCGGUGUAGCGGUGAAAUGCGUAGAGAUCGGGAAGAACAUCGGGUGGCGAAAGCGCUCUACUGGACGGCAACUGACACUCAGGGACGAAAGCUAGGGGAGCGA